rnacentral:rRNA from 1 species
UGAGGAAUAUUGGUCAAUGGGCGAGAGCCUGAACCAGCCAAGUAGCGUGCAGGAUGACGGCCCUAUGGGUUGUAAACUGCUUUUAUGUGGGGAUAAAGUGCGUGACGUGUCAUGCAUUGCAGGUACCACAUGAAUAAGGACCGGCUAAUUCCGUGCCAGCAGCCGCGGUAAUACGGAAGGUCCGGGCGUUAUCCGGAUUUAUUGGGUUUAAAGGGAGCGUAGGCUGUCUAUUAAGCGUGUUGUGAAAUUUACCGGCUCAACCGGUGGCUUGCAGCGCGAACUGGUCGACUUGAGUAUGCAGGAAGUAGGCGGAAUUCAUGGUGUAGCGGUAAAAUGCUUAAAUAUCAUGACGAACUCCGAUUGCGCAGGCAGCUUACUGUAGCAUAACUGACGCUGAUGCUCGAAAGUGCGGGUAUCAAACAGG